CAAAAUCCCUCCCAUUCUCCUUUCCCCCACCUACCCCUCUCUCUCUCUCGCACGCGUCCUCGGUUCCCCAGUGCGCCGCUCGCCGACGUGCAGUCCAACGGCGGCCGCAUUCACCGCCUCCACGCACUGAGCGAGCUUCAUCUUGGUCCCCUCCACCGGAUCCCUACCCGCGCGGCCGCGCCCCUCCUUUCCGCCCUUGAGCACGACGACGCGACUAACCCUAGCCGUGGGGUUCGUCACGGUCGCGAGCCCUCACACGGCGCCUUCCUACCCAUCUCGUGCGGGGGCCUGCGCUGCACCCCGUCGUGGCCGCCCUCUCGUCGACAACUAACGGAGCCUCCUCUCCCUUGAGCCCGAUCCGGAGCGUGUUAACGGCGUGGCCUGCGCUAGCUCGAUCCCGAGCACGAUGGCGUUGGUGACAUGGUGCCUCCCCGACCACCAGCGACCCCGAGCUCGUGGUCCCUCUUCAGCGGCAGCGAGCAGCGCAGCCCGCGCGGAGUAUCCAGGGGGGCGAGUAGACAAGCAUCAGCGCAGAUCCUUGGGGAUGGGACAUAGUGAGGUGGGGUUGUGUUGGUGGCCACUAAGAGCUUCAAUUUUUCACCUACGUGCACCUACUCAACCUGAAGGUCUUCAGAUGACAUUUUUGUUUAUGAGUCAAGCUGUAGGAUCUCAAUAGCGGCGACCUAACAGCCUCAGUCUACGAUCUGCAGGUCUUCAAACUACUACACCUCCAUAGGACCAAGAUAUAAGGAUGACCGUAAAUGCACCCAUCUAAUUGUUGAAGCUUUAGAUCCCAGUGGAAAGAUAUCUUUGGCUCAAAUUUCUCGAAAGCUUACACAGCUAGGCCUCAGGAAUUCCAAGAAGAGGACAAAAGUUCCAGAGGCACCUCUCUCAGCUGAAGACCUAGCUACACAACCACAAAACCACGCGCUAGAUGAUCCUAAGCCAGAGAGUACCCGGCGCUGAAGGAAAAGGUUACUUGGGUUAAGCAGUAAUCAUGACAACAGCUCUAGUCAUCCAAUAUCAUCUGAUGAAGAAACACUGCAAGCACUUAAGAGCAGAUUCUACCAGAAGCUUCACUUCCGCUGGCCUGCUGCCGAUGUUCCCAGUCGGCCACACCCCCAAACAGCAGCAACACAAGUACACCUGAUGGAUUUUACUAUGCAUCGGCUAGCACAGAUAUGUCUAUUCUAACCUAUGAAGGCUUCAGGUGGUUCAGUAAUGCUGAAAAAGGAUGGUAUGUGGCUUCUUUAUGUUUUCAGCUGUUUGGAAUAAUACAUCUACCACGUAUUUGCAAACCGGGGAUUUAAAAGAUAUAGAGUUGUACCAUGUUAUUUUGCACAAUGAAUACUAAUUGAGUGUUCCCGUUCUUCCCACCUAUGCAUGAAUGCUUGGUUUUUUCACAUGUGUUAUGCCAAAAUUGCAUUGUCAUUGACAAGAUUUGAGGCGAGGUAUAAAUGAUGCUUCGUUGCUUAAAGUCUACUACUAUAUACUUUUUCCUAUAGACCCAAGUUUUCUGUAAUGCACGACCUACUUUUUAGCCACUUUAAGCAUGGUUAAUGUCUUCAAUUUAUACCACCCCAUUGGUGAGAACCAACAUAGCAUGGUUAAGCAAACCUCCCUAAUUCUUAUUCAUCUGCUCAGUUAUGUUAUAAUACAUUGAAAGGAUAAAGGGAGCCUUAACUGUCUAAUGACCCUGUUUAACUGUCUAAUAUAUUUCCUGUAAUAGAAUUUGCUGUAACAAAGCAUGGUUAAGAUAAAGGGAGUUAUGUUAUAAUUCUCUUGAGGUUUCGCUCUCUAUGUAUAUUUCGAUACAAGGUAUUGUUCGAGGAAAAAAAAAAUUCUUUAAGCCAUUAUGUUCAGUUUUGGACUAUUACCUGUGUAGAACCAGCUGAUAUUUAGUUGCUGCAAAUGAUUUUUUGUGUACUGUAAUAGAAUUUGCUGUAAUAUCUUUCCUGUAAUGAAAUGCUUAUGCCUCAAAAUCACUUGAUGUUUGUUGAGUUGGUGCUUCCGGAGGACUAGAAGCACCACAAGCUAAAACAUGAGGCCCAAUAAACAGGGUCAUCGAGUACCAACCAGUGCCUGAGCUCACUGGUUUUUACUAUAAAUAUAUAUACUUUCUAUUCUGUAUACCAAGGUACCUAUGUACUUGGUAAAUUUAAUGUGUUCCUACUUACUAGUUGCUGCAAUUUGAUUUUAUUUUCGCAAUGGGUAAGAAACAUCGCUACUUUUGUCAUGUUUGGUCUGUGUCUGUUUAUUCUAGAUAUGAUGGUACUGUGCUGACAUUGGAGGAACAAGCAGCAAAUCGGGAACAAAUGAGGAAAAUUGAGAACCCUGUUGGAGUAAGAUGGAAGCCAGUUAGAUGAACCCUGUUAGAUGAACCUUGUUGUGUAUUUUAUCUAAUGGUUUCGAACCAUGUUGUUCAUGAUGUGGAGAUGGACCCUAUUGGUCAUGUAAAUUAGAUGCCUCGAUUGUGAACCCUUGAAUGUUUCAGAAUGUUGGUUUGAGACCUAGACUGCUUGAAAAUAUUGUUAAACAUUGUUUGACUUCUUGA